UUAUCUGGGAGAUAGCCUUUCGAAAGGAAGAUUAAUAUCCCAUAACAUAUUAGAUGGCAUCAUUUAAUAUUGAAAGUUCCGGCGGAUAGAGAUGGGCACGCGCAAGAUUAGAUAGUUGGUGAGGUAACGGCUCACCAAGUCAAUGAUCUUUAGGGGGCCUGAGAGGGUGAUCCCCCACACUGGUACUGAGACACGGACCAGACUCCUACGGGAGGCAGCAGUGAGGAAUAUUGGACAAUGGGUGAAAGCCUGAUCCAGCCAUCCCGCGUGAAGGACGACGGCCCUACGGGUUGUAAACUUCUUUUAUAUAGGAAUAAACCUAGAUACGUGUAUCUAGCUGAAGGUACUAUAUGAAUAAGCACCGGCUAACUCCGUGCCAGCAGCCGCGGUAAUACGGAGGGUGCAAGCGUUAUCCGGAUUUAUUGGGUUUAAAGGGUCCGUAGGCGGACCUGUAAGUCAGUGGUGAAAUCUCGCAGCUUAACUGUGAAACUGCCAUUGAUACUGCAGGUCUUGAGUGAAUUUGAGGUAGCUGGAAUAAGUAGUGUAGCGGUGAAAUGCAUAGAUAUUACUUAGAACACCAAUUGCGAA
rnacentral:rRNA from 1 species